rnacentral:rRNA from 1 species
AGCGAACGCUGGCGGCAGGCUUAACACAUGCAAGUCGAACGCCCCGCAAGGGGAGUGGCAGACGGGUGAGGAACACGUGGGAACGUACCCUUCGGUUCGGAAUAACUCAGGGAAACUUGUGCUAAUACCGGAUACGUCCGAAAGGAGAAAGAUUUAUCGCCGAAGGAUCGGCCCGCGUCUGAUUAGCUUGUUGGUGAGGUAACGGCUCACCAAGGCGACGAUCAGUAGCUGGUCUGAGAGGAUGAUCAGCCACACUGGGACUGAGACACGGCCCAGACUCCUACGGGAGGCAGCAGUGGGGAAUAUUGGACAAUGGGGGCAACCCUGAUCCAGCCAUGCCGCGUGAGUGAUGAAGGCCUUAGGGUUGUAAAGCUCUUUUGUCCGGGAAGAUAAUGACGGUACCGGAAGAAUAAGCCCCGGCUAACUUCGUGCCAGCAGCCGCGGUAAUACGAAGGGGGCUAGCGUUGCUCGGAAUCACUGGGCGUAAAGCGCACGUAGGCGGGCUUUUAAGUCGGAGGUGAAAUCCCAGGGCUCAACCCUGGAACUGCCUUCGAUACUGGAAGUCUUGAGUCCGGAAGAGGUGAGUGGAACUCCGAGUGUAGAGGUGAAAUUCGUAGAUAUUCGGAAGAACACCAGUGGCGAAGGCGGCUCACUGGUCC